UGGAAAUACCCACUUCUUGAUCCCGCUAUCUUGUUGGAGGGAAAUACCACUUGAGACUGCUGACGUGUUGGAGGUAAAUUGUUGUAACAGUGCGAGCAUAACGGUACAACUGUCCAUUGUAGUGGUUAUACAAGAUCCAGCUUCAACUGAAUAAUUUCAGUGGUUAUACAAGAUCCAGCUUCAACUGAAUAAUUCCAGUGGUUAUACAAGAUCCAGCUUCAACUGGAUAAUUUCAGUGGUUAUACAAGAUCCAGCUUCAACUGAAUAAUUCCAGUUGGCAAUUGAAUAAUUCCAGUGGUUAUAAAAACCCCUCGUCCCCUGAAGAGAGAUGAGUGGAUUUUUUUCUUCAUUCUUUGAACCUGCAGUCUGUAAGGCUAGGGCUGAAUAUCCAGUCUCUCAAUACAUAGACGUUUACAUACAAAGAAUAUCAAAUGGUAGUCGAUUCAUCAUUACCAACAUCUCAGAAGAUCUGUAUGUAUCAGCACUGAAAGACUUGAUACAGGAUCAUAAUGGUAUACCACCUAAUCAUCAGAAACUAUUUUAUAUUGAUGGUAAUAAUGAUCAACAUACUCUGAAGAGUCAUCAUAAAUUAUCUUACUAUCAUGUUACUGAUGGGUCUACUAUAUAUUUAGCUGAUCUCAGAACUGAUGAUGCUUCACCUCGCUUGAGGAGACGCUAACAUGGUUGUUCCAAGACCAGAGUUCAAUCUAGUAAAUACAGGUAGACACAGGUAUAUAUUACAGGUAAUGUUACCAGGUAAAUACAGGUAAUGUUACCAGGUAAAUACUGGUAGUGUUAUCAGGAAUAUACAUGUAAUAUUACCAGGUAGAUACAGGUAAUGUUACCAUGUAGAUACAGGUAAUGUUACCAGGUAGAUACAGGUAAUGUUAUCUGGUAAAUACAGGUAAUGUUAUCAGGUAAAUACAGGUAAUGUUAUAAGGUAUUUUACAAAUGUAGAUCUAGACUUAGUUAGUCCAGCCAUCAGUUUAAAGUUCUAUAUAUAUUACAAACAUAUAUCUAGACUUGGUUAAUCCAGUCAUCCAGUGCGGUUUAUAUUACAAAUGUAGAUCUAGACUGGGUUAAUCCAGUCAUCCAAUGCUAUAUAUAUUACAAAUGUAGAUCUAGACUGGGUUAAUCCAGUCAUCCAGUGCUAUAUAUUACAAAUGUAGAUCUAGACUGGGUUAAUCCAGUCAUCCAGUGCUAUAUAUAUUAUACAUGUAGAUCUAGACUGGGUUAACCCAGUCACCCAAUGCCAUAUAUUACAAAUGUAGUUCUUGUUAUAUACUAUUCAAAAAAAGUAGGGGAUAUUUGAUUUUUAAGUGUUAUUAAAGUCACCUAAUGAAACUGACGAAGAAACAAAUGACAAAAUGAAAUGAAGUUCACAUUCAUCGAUUUAUUCCAAAUGAUCGUUAGACUAAGUAAGGCACAGACUGACCAUUAUAAGGGUAAAAUGAUACCCGGGGUCAAACAGCAAAGUUACCACAGCAUCACAACCAAGUCAGUAAAGGGUAAAUCCUCCUCUGUUUGCCAAACAAGCAUUGAUCCGACGUGGCAUACUCCUAAUGAGACGUCUAAGGUCAUUUUGGUCCAGAUUGUCCCAUUCCUGUUGCAACGCAGCAGCAAGUUCUUGGACAUUGGCAGGACGUUGUUGACGUUGACGUAACCUCUGUCCAAGCAUGUCCCAGACAUGCUCGAUGGGGGAGAGGUCGGGACUCAGUGCUGGCCAAGGUAAUGUGGUGAUGUUCUGUUGUUGGAGGUAACCUGUAACGAUCCUGGCCCUGUGACAUCUUGCGUUGUCAUCCUGGAAGAUGAAACGGCGGCCAUGACGUCGUGCGAACGGCACAACAUGGACUGCCAAGAUGUUGUCCCGGUAGUACUGGCCUGUAACACGCCCAGCAACAGUGAUGCCUCCCCACACCUAACAGAACCACCCCCAAAUCGAUCAUGUCUGAUGACGUUAACGUCUUGGAAGCGCUCGUUUCGACGACGCCACACCCUCCUACGUCUGUCCAAAAAAUCAACAGUGAACCUUGACUCAUCUGAAAACAUCACAUUGCUCCAGCGUCGAUUAUCCCAGUGUUGACGAUCCCUACACCAACAAAGUCUUGCCUGAAUGUGAUGAUCUCUCAAACAAGGGAUCACGCGAGGACGUCGGGCGCGAAGGUGACCUCUAUGCAGUCGAUUCCGAAUCGUCUGGCCACUCACUCUCACACCAGUGUCUGUUUGAAGACGAGCGCUGAUCUGAUUUGCUGUGAUGACACGAUUUCUCAAGGCCAAGGUACGGAAAAAUCGAUCCUGGGCUUGAGUUGUCGCCCUUGGUCGACCUGAGCGUGGUCUGUCCUGUACAGAUUGUGUAUCACGGUAUCUGGACCAUAGCCUGCUUAUGACAGACGGAGAAACAUUCAUCGUCCGCGCCACAACCGCCUGUGUUGUGCCGAACUGUAGCAUGCCAAGGGCACGUAACCUUUCAUUUUGGGUAAGCCGACGCAUAUCAAAAUUUGUUUUCUGGUCACUAAAACAAUUAAACUGAUGUUUCCACCCUGGAAUUCAAUGCCACAAUGACUGUAACAUUCAAAGUCAGAGUCGUGCAAAUCUUGGGUUGGACCCCCAUGAUGAUCCCAAGCAUCACCCGCAUUCCAUGCGGUAGCUAUUGGUGCGUUUGGGCGUCACAUGUAACUGGAAAUGUUUCUUCUGUUAGGUUCUAUAGUGACUUUUUUCGUAGUCAUUUGCAUAUUUUAGUAUUAUGCCCCCAAAAUCAAAUAUCGCCUACUUUUUUUGAAUAGUAUAUUUAAAUCAAGGCUAGUAAUAAGUUUGUCUUUUAAUCCCCUUGUUGAACCUAGAAAUAAGGUUUUCUUUUAAUACCCUAGUCGAACCUAGUAAUAAAGUAUGUCUGGUAUUUGUCAGGUCGGACCUUUUUCACCAUUUCACCAUGCUAAAAUUUGUUAUUUCUAGUCAUGUUGCAGGUUGUCAUGUUUUUUGUCAUCCAAUCAAAUCAAAUCUCAUCCAGUGCUAUAUAUAUUACAAAUGUAGAUCUUGUUAUAUUCAAAUCAAGGCUAGUAAUAAGGUUGCCCUUUAAUCCCCUGGUUAAACCUAGAAAUAAGCUUUUCUUUUAAUACCCUAGUCGAACCUGGUAAUAAAGUAUGUCUGAUAUCUCUCAGGUCGGGCCUUUUUCACCAUUUUAUUGCUAAAAAUUUGUAUUUCUAGUCAUGUUGCAGGUUGUCAUAUUUUUUUGUCUUCCAAUCAAAUCUCACAUUGUUUAAAUUUAAUCUCGCCAUUGUUUUUAUUUAAGAAUGAUACUGGUGACAAGUCAAAUCUCACCAUUGUUUUUGUUUAAGAUAAAAAAAUCCUCGAGUCUGAUAUUGUUUUUAGGGAAAGUAUUUUAUAUUACCGGUGGUUUUGUAACUAUGCCUUGAUAACAUUGUUCAACAGUAUUAAACCUUUUCAUAAAUAACA